UGUGCCUAUAUGAGUCAAUACGAUAUAGCAUAAACGUUACACAAUAGUUUUCAAGAAUGCAAAUAAUUUUAAGGACAAGAGCAUACAAGAAUUCAAAGCAGUAAUAUAAAGCUCAAUUGAAUAAGAAAGCUAAAGGAUAUCAAUUUCCAAAGGAAUGAAACCAGAAUAUGCGAAAUUGACCAAAGCUCGAUUUCUGGCAGAAUUCAAGAGGCACAUUGAACAAAUGAUUCAAACUAUCAAUUGUGCUCCAAUUUACUCAGAAAUAUAUCAUUGGAAAGAUAUUUCAAUCUACUUUCAGAUAAAACAAGUUUCAUAUGAAUUGAACUGUCCAACAGAGAGAGUUACAAAUAAUUUGGUAAACAAGGGGUCGCAGAACAAAAUCUUUGUUUGAUAAAAUUCAUAAGGUCAGAUUCAACAGAUAACUGGGUAGGUGUUUGGAGUCCAAAUCUUUCAAUCCAUAUAUCAAAAGAAAGAUCUACGAGUCUAGUUUCCAAUGAAAUCAGUUUUGAACAAAUCAGAGUUUCCAACAAAGACUUAUAGGCAGCUCGGUAUCAAAAGGUCAGAAUCUCAGAAGUUGCACAGAUUUGAAUCGUUACGUCUAAACAGGAGAUAUAUCAAAUACAAGGCUAGAACAAUUCAAAGUUCCUCAUAUUCAAAGCAAAUGUAGAGAUAAAAUUACAAUAAGGAAAGAUCAGGACACUUGCAAUAGGAAAGAUUAGAAAGCUUGCAAGGGGAAGGAUCAGAAC
rnacentral:lncRNA from 1 species